rnacentral:rRNA from 1 species
GGUUAAGCGACUAAGCGUACACGGUGGAUGCCCUGGCAGUCAGAGGCGAUGAAGGACGUGCUAAUCUGCGAUAAGCGUCGGUAAGGUGAUAUGAACCGUUAUAACCGGCGAUUUCCGAAUGGGGAAACCCAGUGUGAUUCGUCACACUAUCAUUAACUGAAUCCAUAGGUUAAUGAGGCGAACCGGGGGAACUGAAACAUCUAAGUACCCCGAGGAAAAGAAAUCAACCGAGAUUCCCCCAGUAGCGGCGAGCGAACGGGGAGCAGCCCAGAGCCUGAAUCAGUGUGUGUGUUAGUGGAAGCGUCUGGAAAGGCGUGCGAUACAGGGUGACAGCCCCGUACACAAAAAUGCACAUACUGUGAGCUCGAUGAGUAGGGCGGGACACGUGGUAUCCUGUCUGAAUAUGGGGGGACCAUCCUCCAAGGCUAAAUACUCCUGACUGACCGAUAGUGAACCAGUACCGUGAGGGAAAGGCGAAAAGAACCCCGGCGAGGGGAGUGAAAAAGAACCUGAAACCGUGUACGUACAAGCAGUGGGAGCACGCUUAGGCGUGUGACUGCGUACCUUUUGUAUAAUGGGUCAGCGACUUAUAUUCUGUAGCAAGGUUAACCGAAUAGGGGAGCCGAAGGGAAACCGAGUCUUAACUGGGCGUUAAGUUGCAGGGUAUAGACCCGAAACCCGGUGAUCUAGCCAUGGGCAGGUUGAAGGUUGGGUAACACUAACUGGAGGACCGAACCGACUAAUGUUGAAAAAUUAGCGGAUGACUUGUGGCUGGGGGUGAAAGGCCAAUCAAACCGGGAGAUAGCUGGUUCUCCCCGAAAGCUAUUUAGGUAGCGCCUCGUGAAUUCAUCUCCGGGGGUAGAGCACUGUUUCGGCAAGGGGGUCAUCCCGACUUACCAACCCGAUGCAAACUGCGAAUACCGGAGAAUGUUAUUACGGGAGACACACGGCGGGUGCUAACGUCCGUCGUGAAGAGGGAAACAACCCAGACCGCCAGCUAAGGUCCCAAAGUCAUGGUUAAGUGGGAAACGAUGUGGGAAGGCCCAGACAGCCAGGAUGUUGGCUUAGAAGCAGCCAUCAUUUAAAGAAAGCGUAAUAGCUCACUGGUCGAGUCGGCCUGCGCGGAAGAUGUAACGGGGCUAAACCAUGCACCGAAGCUGCGGCAGCGACGCUUAUGCGUUGUUGGGUAGGGGAGCGUUCUGUAAGCCUGUGAAGGUGUGCUGUGAGGUAUGCUGGAGGUAUCAGAAGUGCGAAUGCUGACAUAAGUAACGAUAAAGCGGGUGAAAAGCCCGCUCGCCGGAAGACCAAGGGUUCCUGUCCAACGUUAAUCGGGGCAGGGUGAGUCGACCCCUAAGGCGAGGCCGAAAGGCGUAGUCGAUGGGAAACAGGUUAAUAUUCCUGUACUUGGUGUUACUGCGAAGGGGGGACGGAGAAGGCUAUGUUGGCCGGGCGACGGUUGUCCCGGUUUAAGCGUGUAGGCUGGUUUUCCAGGCAAAUCCGGAAAAUCAAGGCCGAGGCGUGAUGACGAGGCACUACGGUGCUGAAGCAACAAAUGCCCUGCUUCCAGGAAAAGCCUCUAAGCAUCAGGUAACAUCAAAUCGUACCCCAAACCGACACAGGUGGUCAGGUAGAGAAUACCAAGGCGCUUGAGAGAACUCGGGUGAAGGAACUAGGCAAAAUGGUGCCGUAACUUCGGGAGAAGGCACGCUGAUACGUAGGUGAAGCGACUUGCUCGUGGAGCUGAAAUCAGUCGAAGAUACCAGCUGGCUGCAACUGUUUAUUAAAAACACAGCACUGUGCAAACACGAAAGUGGACGUAUACGGUGUGACGCCUGCCCGGUGCCGGAAGGUUAAUUGAUGGGGUUAGCGCAAGCGAAGCUCUUGAUCGAAGCCCCGGUAAACGGCGGCCGUAACUAUAACGGUCCUAAGGUAGCGAAAUUCCUUGUCGGGUAAGUUCCGACCUGCACGAAUGGCGUAAUGAUGGCCAGGCUGUCUCCACCCGAGACUCAGUGAAAUUGAACUCGCUGUGAAGAUGCAGUGUACCCGCGGCAAGACGGAAAGACCCCGUGAACCUUUACUAUAGCUUGACACUGAACAUUGAGCCUUGAUGUGUAGGAUAGGUGGGAGGCUUUGAAGUGUGGACGCCAGUCUGCAUGGAGCCGACCUUGAAAUACCACCCUUUAAUGUUUGAUGUUCUAACGUGGACCCGUGAUCCGGGUUGCGGACAGUGUCUGGUGGGUAGUUUGACUGGGGCGGUCUCCUCCUAAAGAGUAACGGAGGAGCACGAAGGUUGGCUAAUCCUGGUCGGACAUCAGGAGGUUAGUGCAAUGGCAUAAGCCAGCUUGACUG